rnacentral:rRNA from 1 species
ACCUGCGGAAGGAUCAUUAAAGAAAUAAUCUCGAGGGCCGAUGGAAAGGAGAGAGGGUUGUAGCUGGCGUUAAGCACGAUGCACGCCCUCUUUCUCGACCUGGGUCCUUAUGGGCGCGGGGCGACCCGCGUCUUCAUAAGCCCCUUCGUGUAGAAAGUCUAUGAAUGUUUUUACCAUCAUCGACUCGCGACUUCUAGGAGACGCGAUUCUUUGAGACAAAAGUUAUUACAACUUUCAGCAAUGGAUCUCUUGGCUCUCGCAUCGAUGAAGAACGCAGCGAAUCGCGAUAUGUAAUGUGAAUUGCAGAUCUACAGUGAAUCAUCGAAUCUUUGAACGCACCUUGCGCUUAUCGGUGUUCCGAUGAGCAUGCCUGUUUGAGCGUCAUUAAAUUCUCAACCCCUCUCGAUUUGCUUCGAGAGGGAGCUUGGAUAGUGGAGGCUGCCGGAGACCUGUUUUUUCAGGACUCGGGCUCCUCUGAAAUGUAUUGGCUUGCGGUCGACUUUCGACUGUGCAUGACAAGGCCUUUGGCGUGAUAAUGAUCGCCGCUCGCCGAAGUGCACGAAUGAAUGGUCUCGUGCCUCUAAUCAGUCGAUGNCUUUUCGAAGGCGUCUUCCUUAUUGACGUUUGACCUCAAAUCAGGUAGGACUACCCGCUGAACUUAAGCAUAU